rnacentral:rRNA from 1 species
GUGUCAGCAGCCGCGGUAAUACGGGGGGUGCAAGCGUUAUUCGGAUUUAUUGGGCGUAAAGAGCGCGUAGGCGGUUUAUCAAGUCAGAUGUGAAAGCCCUGGGCUCAACCUGGGAAGUGCAUUUGAAACUAGUAGACUUGAGUAUGGGAGAGGGGAGUGGAAUUCCUGGUGUAGAGGUGAAAUUCGUAGAUAUCAGGAGGAACACCGGUGGCGAAGGCGACUUCCUGGACCAAUACUGACGCUGAGGCGCGAAGGCGUGGGGAGCAAACAGGAUUAGAAACCCUCGUAGUCC